rnacentral:antisense_RNA from 1 species
GGGUGCCGGAAGCUUUCGAGCUUCAGGCCAUUGCUGAGGUUCGGAAAGAAGAAAGCCCCAAGGAGAUAGUGUUAUCAACCUUGAGGCUACCCAUCCGAACCAGACAAUUCGGAUGGUAGUCUCUUCUUCGCAUGGAGGCAAUACAUGCUGACGAAAUAUG